rnacentral:sRNA from 1 species
GCCAGGCAUGGUGACCCAUGCCUGUAAUCCCAGCACUUUGGGAGGCUGAGGCGGGUGGAUCACCUGAGGUCAGGAGUUCGAGACCAGCCUGGCCAACAUGGUGAGACCCUAUCUCUA